GUUGUUUUUAACCGAAGACGAUGUUCCCGGGGCGAAACUGCCAACACCAAAAGUAAAGGAUCAUGCCAACUUUGUUUUGGAACGAUGUGGUUAGCCUGUCAGUGGCGAGUUGGGGAGAAAAGAGCAGCAUUGAUAGCAAGGCUACCAAGUACAUAUCAACUCAUUUUUGUGGCAGUUGACCAUUACAUCAUGUGUGCAGAUGCAAAAACUGCGUAGAAGUUGGUAAAGCUGUAGAGAUUGAUGUGAGCAUAGAUCAGGG
rnacentral:lncRNA from 1 species